rnacentral:rRNA from 1 species
ACACUCCUACGGGAGGCAGCAGUGGGGAAUUUUGGACAAUGGGCGAAAGCCUGAUCCAGCAAUGCCGCGUGAGUGAAGAAGGCCUUCGGGUUGUAAAGCUCUUUUGUCAGGGAAGAAACGGUGAAAGCUAAUAUCUUUUGCUAAUGACGGUACCUGAAGAAUAAGCACCGGCUAACUACGUGCCAGCAGCCGCGGUAAUACGUAGGGUGCAAGCGUUAAUCGGAAUUACUGGGCGUAAAGCGUGCGCAGGCGGUUUUGUAAGUCUGAUGUGAAAUCCCCGGGCUCAACCUGGGAAUUGCAUUGGAGACUGCAAGGCUAGAAUCUGGCAGAGGGGGGUAGAAUUCCACGUGUAGCAGUGAAAUGCGUAGAUAUGUGGAGGAACACCGAUGGCGAAGGCAGCCCCCUUGGUCAAGAUUGGCGCUCAUGCACGAAAGCGUGGGGAGCAAACAGGAUUAGAAACCCGAGUAGUCCCAUGAU